rnacentral:rRNA from 1 species
UACGUAGGCAGCAAGCGUUGUUCGGAAUUAUUGGGCGUAAAGAGCUCGUAGGCGGUCUGUCGCGUCGGAUGUGAAAGCCCGGGGCUUAACCCCGGGUCUGCAUUCGAUACGGGCAGACUAGAGUGUGGUAGGGGAGAUCGGAAUUCCUGGUGUAGCGGUGAAAUGCGCAGAUAUCAGGAGGAACACCGGUGGCGAAGGCGGAUCUCUGGGCCAUUACUGACGCUGAGGAGCGAAAGCGUGGGGAGCGAACAGG